rnacentral:lncRNA from 1 species
GACUGAUCGAUUGAAGUUGGAGAGCACAAAAACUAGAGCGCAGAGAUAGGGGAGGUGUUGCUAACAUGGGUGACAGGUAGGUGCUUUCAAUCGGUGGUUUUAAAAAUAACAAUUAUGUUUGAAUAAUCGAAUGUGUUUUUGAAAAUUUUUCUUUUCUUUUUUGCAGUUGCAAUUUCACUAUCUUUAUACAUCACGGUGGGACAUUUAAGGAAGUACAAUGAUUUGAUGCAUAUUCGGGGGGUAAAAAGGUAGGAUUUUCUGACCUUGACGUAGAUAAGUUUGGGUUUUUUUAUUUGAAGGAGUUAGUCGAGGGUUUGGGUUACUCGGGAUGGGGCAAGUUAUUAUAUGUGGAGCCUAUGUCAUAUACAUUUAAGGUGAUCAAAACUGAUAAAGAGGUCAUGGAGAUGUUGGGUUUCCUAAGUA